AAGUAUAUUUGUUGAAUAUAUAGAGAGUUAACAACUACUGAAGUCAAAUUCAUUGUGUAUGUAAGUAUACUUACAUCUGAUUCUGAUGCGCGGCAGUUUAAGAAAUAAUAAUCAUAUUUUAUUUGCGAUAUUUUGUGAGUAGACUGUGAAUCUGCAAUGUUCUCUGUUAGGUACAGAGUAACAGUACAAUGUAUUCCUCUGAGGUA